UACGAAGGGUGCAAGCGUUACUCGGAAUUACUGGGCGUAAAGCGUGCGUAGGUGGUUCGUUAAGUCUGAUGUGAAAGCCCUGGGCUCAACCUGGGAAUGGCAUUGGAAACUGGCGACCUAGAGUGCGGUAGAGGGCAGUGGAGUUCCCGGUGUAGCAGUGAAAUGCGUAGAGAUCGGGAGGAACAUCUGUGGCGAAGGCGACUGCCUGGACCAGCACUGACACUGAGGCACGAAAGCGUGGGGAGCAAACAGG
rnacentral:rRNA from 1 species